UUCUUUUAAAGAAUUUUUCAUCCAAAGUACCUUUAAUAAGGGGAUUAUAUUGUUCCUAAGAAGCUUUACUUCCCCAGCAUGAAUUAGGAUAGGUUCUUCAUCAUAUGUCAAGUCAAGAUUAAAUACAAUAGAUUCAACUGGAAGAACAUGAGAUGGAUCAGAACGGUAUCUUCUAAGCAUAGAAACACGGAACACCUUGUGAAUAUUGUCUAACUUAGGUAGUAAAGCCAAUUUAUAUGCAACUGGUCCAACCCUUUCAGACCCAGGUAACCAGGAUCAGCAGGCAGCGCCAUUGAUCCAGUUGAGCACUCCACAGUCACAUGGGUUGCCUCCUUGCAUUGCGGAGGAUAUCCGUUUUAUUGCUUUUCAAGUUUAGUUCAAUAGGAUGCUAUGGGGUCUGUCCCAGCAUCCAUGUAAGUCAGUUAAGAGGCUUCAUAGACAGUUAGCAGUUAAAUUUUUGAGUCUAAUUUAUAUUAUAUUUCAUAUGUUCAAGUGUUGAGACUUAGUGCCAUUUUGGUCAAGACAAUUAUAUUAGUUCUUUGAUGAGAAUGUUUCUAAUUCUUUA